GAUGAAGAACGUAGCGAAAUGCGAUAAGUAGUGUGAAUUGCAGAAUUCAGUGAAUCAUCGAAUCCUUGAACGCACCUUGCGCCCUUUGGCCAUUCCGAAGGGCAUGCCUGUUUGAGUAUCAUGAACACCUCAACUCUUCAUGGUUUUCCGUGAUGAGCUUGGACUUUGGGGGUCUUGCUGGCCUAUGGUCAGCUCCUCUAAAAUAAAUCAGCUUGCCAGUGUUUGGUGGGUAUCACAGGUGUGAUAACUAUCUACGCUUGUGGUUUUCCACCAGGUAACCUUCAGCAGUGGAGGUUCACUGGAGCUCACAGAUGUGUCUCUCCUCAGUGAGGACAGCUCUUUGAAUGUUUGAUCUCAAAUCAGGUAGGACUACCCGCUGAACUUAAGCAUAUCAAUAAGCGGAGGA
rnacentral:misc_RNA from 1 species